GGACCAUCAUGUCGGUCGUGCCUCGGUACGUACUGGUAUUGUUGGGUUCUCCCUUCUGACGAACCAUGAUGUCAUUAAUUUGGUGUUGCGGGGAAUUUGGACUGUUACUUUGAAAAAAUUAGAGUGUUUAAAGCAGGCAUUAGCUUGAAUACAUUAGCAUGGAAUAAUGAAAUAGGACGUUUGAUCCUAUUUUGUUGGUUUCUAGGAUUGACGUA
rnacentral:rRNA from 1 species